AGCGUUGCUCGGAAUCACUGGGCGUAAAGGGUGCGUAGGCGGGUCUUUAAGUCAGGGGUGAAAUCCUGGAGCUCAACUCCAGAACUGCCUUUGAUACUGAGGAUCUUGAGUUCGGGAGAGGUGAGUGGAACUGCGAGUGUAGAGGUGAAAUUCGUAGAUAUUCGCAAGAACACCAGUGGCGAAGGCGGCUCACUGGCCCGAUACUGACGCUGAGGCACGAAAGCGUGGGGAGCAAACAGG
rnacentral:rRNA from 1 species